UGUUGGCCGUGGAGCGCAUGAAAACUCCGCAGUUAAGCGUGCUCGGAUGGGAGUAGUACUAGGAUGGGUGACCUUCUGGGAUGUCUGCACCGGGGCAACCA
rnacentral:rRNA from 2 species